UGAAGGCAGGGUAACACCUGCUGGAGGUCCGAACCGACUACUGUUGCAAAAGUAGCGGAUGAGCUGUGGGUAGGGGCGAAAGGCUAAACAAAUCCGGAAAUAGCUGGUUCUCCCCGAAAACUAUUUAGGUAGUGCCUCGCGUAUUGCUCCAGGGGGUAGAGCACUGUAAUGGUUGGGGGGGUCAUUGCGACUUACCCCGCCAUAGCAAACUCCGAAUACCUGGAAGUAUUAGCGCGGGAGACAGAGCACUGGGUGCUAACGUCCAGACUCAAGAGGGAAACAACCCAGACCGCCAGCUAAGGUCCCAAAUUAUAGCUAA
rnacentral:rRNA from 1 species